UACGUAGGGUGCAAGCGUUAAUCGGAAUUACUGGGCGUAAAGGGUGCGUAGGCGGCCCUGUAAGUCAGUGGUGAAAUACUGCAGCUUAACUGUAGCAUUGCCAUUGAUACUGUAGGGCUUGAGUACAGAUGAGGUAGGCGGAAUUGAUGGUGUAGCGGUGAAAUGCAUAGAUACCAUCAAGAACACCGAUUGCGAAGGCAGCUUACUAAGCUGUAACUGACGCUGAGGCACGAAAGCGUGGGGAUCGAACAGG
rnacentral:rRNA from 1 species